UACGUAGGGUGCGAGCGUUGUCCGGAAUUAUUGGGCGUAAAGAGCUCGUAGGCGGUGUGUCGCGUCGGCCGUGAAAACCUGCAGCUUAACUGUGGGCUUGCGGUCGAUACGGGCAUCACUGGAGUUCGGCAGGGGAGACUGGAAUUCCUGGUGUAGCGGUGAAAUGCGCAGAUAUCAGGAGGAACACCGGUGGCGAAGGCGGGUCUCUGGGCAGUAACUGACGCUGAGGAGCGAAAGCGUGGGGGAGCGAACAGG
rnacentral:rRNA from 1 species